GUUACAAGGAGCUGUGCAGUUCAGCUACAGAACAAGGCCUCUUAUUUGAAACUAUUUUCAGAGACAUACACAGUAAGAGGCACAGAGGAACAUGCUUUUCCAAAGACUGUGGCAGUUUGCCAGGCAGGCUACUGUGGCCAUUCUCUUCCUCUGAAGCCACAACACUAGAAACUGAGCUCUGCUUCCCCUGUUGGGCUUUACGGAUGCCCUGUGCUGGCUCUAAAUGAAUCAGAAAGGUCAUUCUUGUUUACCAAAUACCAAAUGUCUCAUUCUUGUGGGUCUCUUUCAUGGGUCUUUGCUGGAGGAGCCUUAACUAGGCAUUUCUGUAAACAAGCCUUCAAAGAUCAGGUGUAUGAUGUAAAAACUAGAGCAAUGUUGGCUUCAUCCUUUAGCAGCAGCUCAUUUGUAUGGGAGAAACAGUUGACGGAGUGCCCAGUGGAUGGUCUCUUCAGAGCUGGCAAAGGUUGAUAGCAGCCAUAGCUUAUCUCGGAAAUAAGUAGAAGUGAUACCUGAGUGUCAUUACCUGGGACCCAGGUGAAUGUCAUGACCUGAGACCCACUGGGGUCAAUAUGGCAGGCAGGCAUUUCUGAGCAUACAUUGCUCUUAUACAUUGCUUUCACAGCUCUAAUAUUUUUGCUUUGAAUCAGUUUCUACUGAACAAUAGCUUACAGUCCGCAGUCAGCAGCUAGCAGGACACCAAGGAGAGGUUGUGCCAAUUAGGAACGCAGGAGAUCUGCCAAGUUCCUUCAGGCUAGCUGGAAGGUGAAGUACAGAGUAUCCCUAUUCUGACAUGCUCUCACCCUGCCACAGAACAUGUUUCUGAUACACAACUGACCUCAGCCUGCUAAGUGCUGAGCCUGCACAAACAUGUUCCCAGUCACAACCACAAUGUAUCUGUGCCAUUGUCCUGCAAAAAAGUAUAUACCUAGCUAAGCAGAGAUUUUUCAUGCACCUCAACCUGUCUUUUUGCUAACAAACAGGCAUCGCUUAUCAGCUUCACAUACUAGAAAGGUGAAGUGGCCUAGAAGAGACCAGAAGCUCCAAACUGACCACUUCAUGUAACAGACUACCAAACAUGCAACGUUUUUCACGAGACAGAAGAAUAGUGAAUUUAAAAAAUUUGUUUAGAACUAUCUGUUGCCAUGGUAUAGCUAGUAGACAGAAGCGUGCUUUUUUGUAUACCAGUAAGGAGUCCACAAGCUGUCUACAUGUUCUGUUAUCUAGUCAUGUUUCUGAAAGGGAUCGUUCACGAGCUAACCAUGUAAAGAGAAUGUUAUUAAAGUGUCUUGAAAUUUGUAUUCGGG